rnacentral:rRNA from 1 species
UACAGAGGGUGCAAGCGUUGUUCGGAAUUAUUGGGCGUAAAGCGCGUGUAGGCGGCUUUGCAAGUCGGGUGUGAAAGCCCUCAGCUCAACUGAGGAAGUGCGCCCGAAACUGCAGAGCUUGAGUGCCGGAGAGGGUGGCGGAAUUCCCCCAAGUAGAGGUGAAAUUCGUAGAUAUGGGGAGGAACACCGGUGGCGAAGGCGGGUCUCUGGGCCGGUAACUGACGCUGAGACACGAAAGCGUGGGUAGCAAACAGG